AGUUCAUGGCUUAAUGUCGCAGGUUAUUAAAGACAUUCUUUUCAAUAGCGUUUGUAAGUCAGGCAAGUCGCAGACUGAACCCUCUGAUCCAGAGCCGAUGGUCGAAAUCUGAAUAGUUUCAUCCUAUUAGUCCAGAUUUAGAUUUGUCUCUAGGUUUCUUUUUGCAGUUAACUAAACAUACAGCUUUGAGUCUAUUAUAUGUAGGUCCCAAGGGGUGAAAGUUUAAGAUGGCCACCCCUGAUAUAAAUUAUCAUUGCUGUUUAAUGUUUUGAAGAUUUUGCCAAAUCUUUCACUAGUUCUUUUCCUUGUCUUCUUUUCUUUUGUUAUUUAGAGAAGUUCUGUAAAUCAUGAACCAUCCUUUUAUAUGAAUGGUACUACCUCUAUCUUGU
rnacentral:misc_RNA from 1 species